rnacentral:rRNA from 1 species
GACGAACGCUGGCGGUAUGCUUAACACAUGCAAGUCGAACGAGACAAGAUGGAAGUGCUUGCACGGAAAUCUUAGAAAGUGGCGAACGGGUGAGUAACGCGUGGGUAACCUGCCCUAUGGAAAGGAAUAGCCUCGGGAAACUGGGAGUAAUGCCUUAUAAUAUAAAGAAGUCGCAUGGCUUUUUUAUUAAACGCUCCGGUGCCAUAGGAUGGACCCGCGUCCCAUUAGCUAGUUGGUGAGAUAACAGCUCACCAAGGCGACGAUGGGUAACCGGUCUGAGAGGGCGAACGGUCACACUGGAACUGAGACACGGUCCAGACUCCUACGGGAGGCAGCAGUGGGGAAUAUUGCGCAAUGGGGGAAACCCUGACGCAGCAAUACCGCGUGAGUGAAGAAGGUUUUCGGAUCGUAAAGCUCUGUUAUUGGGGAAGAAAAAAAGACGGUACCCAAGAAGAAAGUCCCGGCUAACUACGUGCCAGCAGCCGCGGUAAUACGUAGGGGACAAGCGUUGUCCGGAUUUACUGGGCGUAAAGGGCACGCAGGCGGUUUUUUAAGUCAGAUGUGAAAGGUACCGGCUCAACCGGUGACAUGCAUUUGAAACUGAAAGACUUGAGUAUUGGAGAGGCAAGUGGAAUUCCUAGUGUAGCGGUGAAAUGCGUAGAUAUUAGGAGGAACACCGGUGGCGAAGGCGGCUUGCUGGACAAAUACUGACGUUGAGGUGCGAAAGCGUGGGGAGCAAACAGGAUUAGAUACCCUGGUAGUCCACGCCGUAAACGAUGAGUGCUAGGUGUUGGGGAGACUCAGUGCCGCAGCUAACGCAAUAAGCACUCCGCCUGGGGAGUACGACCGCAAGGUUGAAACUCAAAGGAAUUGACGGGGGCCCGCACAAGCGGUGGAGCAUGUGGUUUAAUUCGAUGCAACGCGAAGAACCUUACCAGGUCUUGACAUCUGUAGAACCCUUAUGAAAGUAAGGGGUGCCUUCGGGAGCUACAAGACAGGUGGUGCAUGGUUGUCGUCAGCUCGUGUCGUGAGAUGUUGGGUUAAGUCCCGCAACGAGCGCAACCCUUGCUAUUAGUUGCUAACAUUUCGGAUGAGCACUCUAAUGGGACUGCCUGUGACAAGCAGGAGGAAGGUGGGGAUGACGUCAAAUCAUCAUGCCCUUUAUGAUCUGGGCUACACACGUGCUACAAUGGAUGGUACAGAGAGAAGCGAGACCGUGAGGUGGAGCGAAUCUCAAAAAGCCAUUCUCAGUUCGGAUUGGAGUCUGCAACUCGACUCCAUGAAGUCGGAAUCGCUAGUAAUCGCGAAUCAGCAUGUCGCGGUGAAUGCGUUCCCGGGCCUUGUACACACCGCCCGUCACACCACGAAAGUCGGCAACACCCGAAGCCGGUGAGCUAACUCUUAGGAGAGGCAGCCGUCUAAGGUGGGGUUGGUAAUUGGGGUG